rnacentral:rRNA from 1 species
AUUGAACGCUGGCGGCAGGCCUAACACAUGCAAGUCGAACGGUAGCACAGAGAGCUUGCUCUCGGGUGACGAGUGGCGGACGGGUGAGUAAUGUCUGGGAAACUGCCUGAUGGAGGGGGAUAACUACUGGAAACGGUAGCUAAUACCGCAUAACGUCGCAAGACCAAAGAGGGGGACCUUCGGGCCUCUUGCCAUCAGAUGUGCCCAGAUGGGAUUAGCUAGUAGGUGGGGUAACGGCUCACCUAGGCGACGAUCCCUAGCUGGUCUGAGAGGAUGACCAGCCACACUGGAACUGAGACACGGUCCAGACUCUUACGGGAGGCAGCAGUGGGGAAUAUUGCACAAUGGGCGCAAGCCUGAUGCAGCCAUGCCGCGUGUAUGAAGAAGGCCUUCGGGUUGUAAAGUACUUUCAGCGGGGAGGAAGGGAGUAAGGUUAAUAACCUUAUUCAUUGACGUUACCCGCAGAAGAAGCACCGGCUAACUCCGUGCCAGCCGCCGCGGUAAAAC